rnacentral:rRNA from 1 species
GAUGAACGCUGGCGGCGUGCUUAACACAUGCAAGUAGAACGGUAAAGCCCUGCUUUUCUCUUGUGCUCGAGUGGCGAACGGGUGAGUAACACGUGAGUAACCUGCCCUUUACUUUGGGAUAACUUUAGGAAACUAUGGCUAAUACCGCAUGAGAGCUGCUGCUGCAUGGUGGGGGUUGGAAAGUUUCAGCGGUUGGGGUUGGACUCGCGGCUUAUCAGCUUGUUGGUGAGGUAGUGGAGUCGCAAGGCGUGGACGGGUAGCCGGCCUGGGAGGGUGACCGGCCACAUAGGGACUGAGAUGGGGCCCAGACUCAUACGGGAGGCAGCAGUGGAAAAUAGUGCACAAUGGGCGGAAGCCUGAUACAGCAACGCCGCGUGCGGGAGGACGGUCGUCGGGUUGGAAACCGCGUUCGCCUGGGACGAAGCGUGAGUGACGGUAACGGAUAAAGAAGCACCGGCUAACUACGUG